rnacentral:rRNA from 1 species
GAUGAACGCUGGCGGCGUGCUUAACACAUGCAAGUCGAACGCUGAAGCACCAGCUUGCUGGUGUGGAUGAGUGGCGAACGGGUGAGUAAUACGUGAGUAACCUGCCCUUGACUCUGGGAUAAGCCCGGGAAACUGGGUCUAAUACUGGAUGCUACAUGUCACCGCAUGGUGGUGUGUGGAAAGGGUUUACUGGUCUUGGAUGGGCUCACGGCCUAUCAGCUUGUUGGUGAGGUAAUGGCUCACCAAGGCGACGACGGGUAGCCGGCCUGAGAGGGUGACUGGCCACACUGGGACUGAGACACGGCCCAGACUCCUACGGGAGGCAGCAGUGGGGAAUACUGCACAAGGGGCGAAAGCCUGAUGCAGCGACGCCGCGUGAGGGAUGACGGCCUUCGGGUUGUAAACCUCUUUCAGCAGGGAAGAAGCCACAAGUGACGGUACCUGCAGAAGAAGCGCCGGCUAACUACGUGCCAGCCGCCGCCGUAA